CGGUAGGUCAAUAGGACAACGGGUGGAGGGGUUGUGUUCUUUCUUGGGCAGAUCGAGAGAAAAGUGCAUGCGGUAAUCGGAUUGACAGACAUCAGAGAAGGAGGACUGCAUUAACCGCAUGGGAACUUAAGAAGAGACCCCGGCGAUUGAGACAGAGCUCGAAUUGAACUCGAGGGAGGGUGAGACGGCUGAUAGGACGCGCAGUGGUGGCGAGUGACACGUGUACGCUCGGUGGUCCAUGGUGGGCUAGUACCUUUUCUGUAAGGUUAAGGUGUAGAUGGCAAGAAUCGUGGCGUGAGAGUGUGGGCGCUCAGGAUGGGGAGUCCCCCAAGCCAAGCCUGGCUGAUUGUUGGUUGCAGGGAGGCGGACCCUCGAUGGUGGGGAUACAGCGAGAAGACUCCGACGGAGCAAAGGAAAUGGAGACGGAACGCGUAGAAUGGUGGGCCGCGGACAUAGUCGACCUGAGUACGGACCCGUUGGCGAGGAUGGAAGCCGUGCAGGUGAAUCAUGUAAGGGAGGUGCCUCGAUAUACAGCCCCUCAGCUAGACCCGUUAACAGACGACGCCAGACAGCAAGCGAUGGAGCGGCUACAGCAAGGAUGGCACCGGAUGCAGAGCCUACAAUCCCCACAGGCGGUAGAGAAUACACCCGAUGCCGAAUUCGAAAGCCAACUGCGAGCGAUAUGCCCAGAUCCGGACGCAUUCAGAGCCAGAAGGUUACAGCAGCACGGGGAGCUAUGGGAAGCCUACUUCCGCAUGUCUGGAGAUGGGCGAAUUGGGGCGCCGGCACGAGAGGUGUUGAAAUGGGUGAGAGAAGGAGUACGACUAGAGUUCGUAGGGGUGUCCGCGCCUGGGCAAGAGUCAGCCCCACAACGGCAGUUAAAGUUGAGGAUAGUACGAUCUAUGGUACAACAAGUACACCCCGGCCAACAGGUGCAGCGCUUCUUCGAAGGGAAAGAGCCACAUCCCAUCCAGUUCCCAAAUCACAGCAGCACAGCUAUGCACGACGAUUUUGUGUCGGCCGAGCUAAAGCUGGCCCUGUCGCAAGGGGCUAUACGGCUGUGGGACCAGCCUCUCCCGCCGACGGUCGUCAAUGGCUUGCGGGUGGUCGAAAACGGGGUCAAGAAGCGGUUGUGUAUGAAUCCCAUGUAUGUCAACCUGUUCCUGCGUUACCAACCGUUGAAGUACGAGCGGCUGACGGAUAUGAUGCAUUACGUCCAAUCCGGCGACUUCAUGUAUGCUACGGACGACAAGUCGGGUUAUUGGCAGCUGUCAAUGCAUCCGGACGCAUACCGCUUUCUGGCGUUCCAGUGGCAGGGGCAGACGUAUUACUGGCCCAGCUGUCCGUUCGGCAUUUCGCCGGCCUGCGGUUGGUACACCAACCUCAAAUUAGAGGUAUUCCGCCCACUGCGAGAGAGGGGGGUUCGGAUGACGUUCCUCAUCGAUGAUCACGCGGGUGCCGCAGAGGGAGCAGGCCGGUGCAAGUUCCUGUGCCGAACGGUGGUGCUCAUCCUGGUGGCGCUGGGAUUCACAUUGAGCUUCAAAAAGUGCAGGAUGAUACCAAGCCAACGGCUCCGCUUUUUGGGUCUGAUCGUCGACGCCAGGCUACAGGCGUUCCAGGUGCCCGAGGAUAAGGUGGUGGCACUGCAGAACCUAGUGGACCAGAUGGAUCAGCAGCAGAUGCCGAUAACCGCACGACAAGGGGCGCAGCUCGCUGGCAAGGUCAUGGCCAUGAGCCCCGCCGUCGCCUUGGCGCCACUGCACAGUCGUUUAGUAAGCCGCGCCAUUCAGGGGCACACAUCGUGGGAGGCCGCGGUGGGACAGCCCGACGAAAUCCUACGAGCGGCAAAAGCUUUCCUAAUGGUCCUGAAGACACGGAACGGUUUAGCCUGGUGGCGCACCACCGCGGCGAUUCAAGUCCAAGUGGCCGGUGAUGCAUCCGAGCAGGCCUUCUCGGCUCUUCUGCCCCAGGCCGAGUUGGGCGCAGAAGUAAUGAGAGUCCCCUUCACCACUCAAGAGCAAGAACGCAUGGCUGCGGGCAAGUUCAGCAGCGCCGAACGGGAGCUGAAGGGAGCAUUAUUGGCCCUGAGGUGGCUGAGAGCACGACUCCACACGGGUAUUAGGGGACGGACACUCCAGUACCAGACGGACAGCCAGGCGGCGCACUUCUGCCUGCUAGGCCAGAGAGGCGCGAACGAGUGCCUGUUCCUAGUACGGGACCUCUUAAUGGAGAGUGCCGAGGCCGGCUGUGAGGUAACACUGACUUGGAUUCCACGCACCGGAGCCAUGCAACAAGAGGCCGAUCGGAUCAGCAAGGAAAGCGACAGUGGGCAGUGGACACUGGACGACGACGUGUACGAGCGAGUGGUUAGUCGCCCAUGCCUGCAGGGCCGACGACCGACGGUAGACUGCUUCGCGGAUACCACGAAUGCCAAGGUGCCGGGGAACUUCUAUUCGCGUACAUGGAACCCAGGGUGCACGGGUGUCGAUGCCUUCGCGCAAUCUUGGGUCCCGGGGGAAAACAACCCUAGGCCAUUGUUGUAUAUCAACGCCCCGUUCUCUCAGGCAGGCAAGGUGCUGAACAAAGUGCGGAACGAGCGACCGGACUGCAUUGUCAUUCUCCCGGUGUGGCCACGGUGGUGGGUGGCCCUACUCAAGAUCUUGCCGGUCGUGGAGGAGUGGGACCUGCCGCUCGUACCCCACCUAUUCCGGCCGGGAGCCUUGGCACGGGCGCCGGGUGCCAGGAGUCCCCGUUACAAAGUGCGGGCGUACUUCAUUCUAUGGCGACCAUGAAACAGCGGGGAGAUCGACGGUCACGCGGAGGCAACAAUAAGGGAGGGAGAGGGGCAGGAGUGGCCAAGGUGGAACAACACAGGACAUCGGCAUGACCCCAACCGGAGAGGAGCAACGCGGGGCAAACAUAGAUGACUUAUAACGUGUGCCCGGGUGCACCACCCGGGGGUGGUCUGGGGGACGCGGAGACGAGAGUGAGAGAGUAGAGCUACGAAAGGGGGAGAGUUUACGGUGGGAGCAAGAAUAAGGCGAGGCAGAGAGGGGGGCGCGCGGAGCGCGGGUGGCUGGGGGUGUUUUAGGUUGGCAGGGGGAUGGAGGGUGGGACGCCGUGCGUGGUGCGUGGGGCUCGCUUAGGCGGAGAGCGUUACAAAGGUUGUAAGUGAGCCCUUCGUAUCAUACGGAUGCUCGCCCCAACUAAUCCGGCCCUUACGGUGGCGGGCUCUUUGACUUCAGAAAUGCCAAAUACAGAAGUACGGAGGGCCCUAUGCCAACCACGGAUAUCACACCAGGACGAGACAGUCCGAGUUUUGGCCAUUCCAGCACAGAAUGCAGAGUCAGACAACAGGUACCAACUAAGCUUUAUUAAGACGGAUUACAGAAAAUAGAUGACGAGAAAGACUAGAAAAAGUCGAGGUCGCCCUCCCUCCCCACCCUCGUGAGACAGGACCAACCAUGCACAGACUUAUCACUCAUCAUCACUCUCCGAAACCACCAGCCCCGUCCCCGUCCCGCCGGCCGGGAGGCGGGCGAGGUGCCUAGUAGGAUCCAGAUAGCGGUGCAGAGUACCCAGAGAGCGGAUGUGCGUGGAGCGCAUGAGAUCCUCAUCGGAGACCCCCUGAGACUGGGCAUGCUGCAAAGCACCCCGACGGAAACUGUGCACCGUCUCUCCGCCGUAUAGCCCAGCAGCGGUAAGAUGAGCGACGAGGCGAUAUUCCAGGGCCUCGGUCGUCAUCGGCGCCUCCCGAUAGGCGCGGCCACUGCACUCCGCCGGACGGAAGAGGUAUUGGGUAAUAGGGGUACCGGCCCUCGUACACGUGCUCAUGUACACUGCAAGAACCCGCAGCGUGCAGACGAGAGGAUCACGAUCCGGACGCAACAUCAUCGCAGGAGCACGCUGACCCUUGUACGUCUGGUAUUUAAUUCUUCGAUACGUAGUACAGUGUCGGGAGAGACACUCCCGUCAGGCGCGGGUAGGGGUAACGGCCAGCCCUGGUACGCGGUACGGCCAUGCACCGGAUCCCUGAAAUCACUUAACACCAGCUUGCCGACAUCAUGACCGCGCUGAUACGUAUGCCACAUUAAAGCAAAUAGAGACAAGUCCCGAAGCACCAAACUGCGAGCAAACAAAUGCUCUUCGUCGCCGGACGCAGUCCACAGAUGGCAGGCCAGGCGACGAAACUUCUCCGCGGUCAAAGGGAUGGCGCCUCGCUCCACAUAACCGGCGUCACUAAGGUCCCGCCCGUAACCCUUGACAUAGCCCCGCACCAAUGAGCUGUCGCAAGGAUUCCCGCGGCUUUGAGAGGCGUCAUAGUCCCCUUCCCGGCCCAGCUGCUUAAAGGCAGUCGCAAGGCUCGAGAUAACCCCUUUCACAGCACUGGCGCUGGGACGCCGGUCAGCCCGCAGACGCCCAGGGUGCCGGGGGAACCACCAUUCCACCAGAUACGAAACAAUGGACAUAGGAUCGCAGGUGAGCAAGGUGAGCCCGAGAGACUGGCGCUGCAACCAGCCAUGGAAUUCUCGCGCAGCACUUUGAACCCGCCGCCAGCUCUCCGAGACCCACUGACGUUGGUGCACCUGGUAGAUGGAGAGCAAGGCGGCCGUGAGCGGCGGCCGCACUGACACGUCCCCGGUAAACUCAGAGUAAUACAGAGCCGCGACAGGGUCUAAAGGCGGCGGCGCCGACCUCGGGAGACGGAUAGGGCCCGCAGCAAGCGGAGGCAUGGCAGGGAGAGGAUUACCAGGAAAGACCUGCGGUGAUAAUAGAGCCGAGGCGUAGGACGCACUAAGCUGACGGACGCCCAUCGAAAACAGACAAAACGUACCAGCGGCAGGUGUAACGGCGGGACGAUGAGAUCGUCACGCUCAGGCGUAACGGUAACGAAUCGAUGAGUAGACGAAGUAAGUGGGUCUUGGCCCCACGGUAAGCCGCCAGGUACGAGAGGAAACAUAAUGCUAACGGGUACUUGCGAUAACACGAUUACUCGAUUCAGGAACACGGAAAAUUAUUACAAUAAAACGGGGCGCGAUCGCGCUUCCAAUAAAUUUGGAUAUCACCGAUAAGGGCCUAAAUUCGUUCGUGCGUGGUGCGUGGGGCUCGCUUAGGCGGAGAGCGUUACAAAGGUUGUAAGUGAGCCCUUCGUAUCAUACGGAUGCUCGCCCCAACUAAUCCGGCCCUUACGGUGGCGGGCUCUUGGACUUCAGAAAUUUAUAAUAGCACUACCGUAGUGACAGGAAAGUUCGUGAUGUGAAUUUCGUGACGGCAUCACGAAAUUAUGUCACAUAUAAAUUACAAGCUGUUCCAGGCGAUGGUCGUCACGAAUAUAUGUGUGCUCCGAAGCCAAAUCGUAUAAUGCCUUCAACACAGUAAUUACUCGUCGAAUUCCCCACUUUUCUGGCCAUAUAUACAUCCAUAGUAAUUGAACGGACAUGGAUCGGAGGGCCAAGCGGCCUAAGCAACAAAGCCUCCUUCAAUGCGGACUCUUCACACUUGCUCGCGGCGCCCCAGCUACGGAUAGAGCUGGUUUUGCCGCUCCUAAAUAACCGUGCAUGCAUUGGCCAGCUUUUUGCGUCAAUUGGCGUUCUGAGUCGGACCCAUUAAUGCGAGCUUGCGUUAAGUAAGCUGGGUUAGUUGGGCGUAAGGCCCAAUGCGUAACUGUUAGCCUAACUGUUUCGCAACGGCCCGUGUCCUCAGGGCCGUCAUUUAUUGCGCGCAUUAAGCUGGUUAGCUUAUCUUGUUUUUGUUGUUCAGCGCGCGCUGACCAACAAAACAGGUCCCGCGCCUUCGGCGCGCUUUCUGUUACUACACCGCUGUGCCUUCGGCUCGUCAGCGAGACCCAUCGGGUAGAGUGCAGUGGAGAAUAUAAAGCACUAGCACCAUAGAGUUAGCCCACCUUAUUGAAGCACCUUUAGUAGUGCUAGUGGCGGCGGAUGUCCCGGUAUCGCUAGGCAUGACUCCGCUGGUGGAGGCAACUCACAGCUAUCCUACAUAGCUAACUGGAAUGUCACAGACUGGCAUUUCCUCGAGGGCUUCUGCGACGCAGUUUAUGCCCCCUGCUUUCUCCGGAGCGGGUCAACAACUCCCGCCCACCCCGGACCCAACAAGCUUGCCCCUGCAGCUACAACACUAAAUGUCCUCUUGACGACGUAUUUCAUCAAGCUCAUCCCCGAGGUUUGGGCGCGACGCUGAAGGUUUGCUCUUCAGCCGAUCAGGAAAUCGACGUCCGCCCACACCGGUGGUGGCUAUGUGUGCGCUUCGUCCCAUCCCUUCCGCGUGGUGAUGGGCUCUACAACCCCAGGCGUGGAGUUUCCGGGGCAGCACGAGUAGCCCGAUAUGUCCACCACCUCCGUGCCCCUGCAUGCUAGGGCCUCGGCGCGGCUGGCCGCUUGGAAGGCAAUUGGAGCAGAUGCGCACACAUUGCACGUCUUGAAGCAUGGUGUCCCGGUGGAGUUUCGAGGUAACCGCCCGCCGCCUGCUUUUGACCUGCCAAGUUUUCCUGCCACAGACGAGCAGAGCCGUUGGUGGUUGGAGAAGGAGGAGCCUCGCCUGGUGGCGCUCGGGGCCAUCUCGCGGGUAGACCCCUCUCGUGCGGUUGAUCAUGUGGUGAACGCUUUUUGUGUCCCGAAAAUGGACAGUGGUUCUUGGCGUUUGGUCGUCAACUUGAAGCUCGAAUUGAACUCGAGGGAGGGUGAGACGGCUGAUAGGACGCGCCGUGGGGGCGAGUGACACGUGUACGCUCGGUGGUCCAUGGUGGGCUAGUACCUUUUCUAUAAGGUUAAGGUGUAGAUGGCAAGAAUCGUGGCGUGAGAGUGUGGGCGCUCAGGAUGGGGAGUCCCCCAAGCGGAAAGAGACAUCCAGUCUGAAUCCAGGGGCCAGGUCGGGCAACAAGUGGAUUGGCGAGCCCUGGGCAAGACGUUGGCGGCAAAACAUGGGGACAAGGCCACGUCACUCAGAGGCACGCUGGAGUCCAACGCGGCCUCAGACCCAGGAGCGAUCGUGGCUUUAAGAAUCGAAGAGUUCUUGGGCUCAGAGGACGGCCGCCAACUUUUUGUGGGGCGGCGCAAAGAACUUAUGGUGAUCGGCCUGGCGGACGCGCUGGAACAGUUUGUGCUGGCGAGUAGGGCAGGAUCGCUUCGAUGGAUCCACGAAUCACUAGAAGCGAGGCUACGAUGGGGACUAACACCCCUUAUCGAGGAAAUUGCAGACCUACUGGCAGCAGCCUUUCGAACCGCGGCGGGAACCUAUCCGGGGGCGAGUCCAGAUUUUGGGGGAAAGUGUACAGUUCCCCAAUUAAUGACGACCGCGUGUCAGAAGGCAAGCGAUGCGGCGCGGGUGCCCGAUGUUCAGGAAUGGUCCCAGCGAAUGGCGGAGGCCUUAUGUGCGCCGGGUUGGGGCGCGGCGGUGGUCGAAGAAUGCGAGAAGAUUCAGCCACAACUCCCGGUCGAGGGAAUUCCGUUGUGGCGAGUUUUCCUGGCGGCCCUCUGGAGCAAGUUUUCCUGCUCAGACACCGGCGCCCAAUUCUCGGCACAGGAACUGCGCCGGGGAUUGUUCCCAGCCGCAGUGAGCCUGGUCCGACUCACCAUCGCCGCUAAGGCAGCUCUGGCGGAAACGGAGCUCAUAGCGGUCGAUAAACGCCGAGACGGAGCACGGGAGCAGUAUACCAGAACAAGGUAUACACCGAGCCUUCCGGGGGGGGAGGGCCCGCAGUCGUUCGGCGGCGUGUAUUGAGUCCCUAGUGGGACUCAGUGGGCGGAAGGCCCCCGAGGAGCACCGGCCGGAGACAUGUAUGGGGGCCGGCCUGUCGUCAACACCUGGGGAGAGCCAGGUUGUUCUCCGGCGCCAUAUCCACCGCAGGGAGAGGCGCCGUCAUACACAACAGCAUGGCGGGGGACCCAGGCAGCGGAUAACAGGGUCCGCGGCCCCCAAGGCCCGCCAGGGUGGGUACCGCCGGCGCCAUCGGGCUUGGCAUCAAUGGUGGCAGGGCCGGUACCGAGAGGUUUCCCGCCGCCGGCACCACCUCCGUUUAGAGACAGCAGAACCAGGGAGGGCGACCGUCCCAGAGCCACUCAGUGACCGCUAAACUGGGACCCGUUGAAGGCGCGGCUACAGGCUGUACAGCCGGGGAGCCAGAGGACAGACGCGGAACUGCGCAAGGUAGCACAGGAAAACAAGCUGUGUUUUCAUUAUGCAGCGGCGGGGUUCACUCCCGGAGCAUGCCCACUGCUCGUGGAAGGUCGGGAAUGCCGGUGGCGUCACACACCCCCGGAAGGAGUGGCGGACGCGAUAACCCUGUUCGUACAGCCCGUCAGAGGGGCUCCGGUAGGUCAAUAGGACAACGGGUGGAGGGGUUGUGUUAUUUCUUGGGCAGAUCGAGAGAAAAGUGCAUGCGGUAAUCGGAUUGACAGACAUCAGAGAAGGAGGACUGCAUUAAN
rnacentral:lncRNA from 1 species